rnacentral:rRNA from 1 species
UAGGGAAUCUUCGGCAAUGGGGGCAACCCUGACCGAGCAACGCCGCGUGAGUGAAGAAGGUUUUCGGAUCGUAAAGCUCUGUUGUAAGUCAAGAACGGGUGUGAGAGUGGAAAGUUCACACUGUGACGGUAGCUUACCAGAAAGGGACGGCUAACUACGUGCCAGCAGCCGCGGUAAUACGUAGGUCCCGAGCGUUGUCCGGAUUUAUUGGGCGUAAAGCGAGCGCAGGCGGUUUGAUAAGUCUGAAGUUAAAGGCUGUGGCUCAACCAUAGUUCGCUUUGGAAACUGUCAAACUUGAGUGCAGAAGGGGAGAGUGGAAUUCCAUGUGUAGCGGUGAAAUGCGUAGAUAUAUGGAGGAACACCGGUGGCGAAAGCGGCUCUCUGGUCUGUAACUGACGCUGAGGCUCGAAAGCGUGGGGAGCGAACAGGAUUAGGAUACCCUGGUAGUCCACGCCGUAAACGAUGAGUGCUAGGU